UACGUAGGGUGCGAGCGUUAAUCGGAAUUACUGGGCGUAAAGCGUGCGCAGGCGGUCUGUUAAGACAGAUGUGAAAUCCCCGGGCUUAACCUGGGAACUGCAUUUGUGACUGGCAGGCUAGAGUAUGGCAGAGGGGGUAGAAUUCCACGGUGUAGCAGUGAAAUGCGUAGAGAUGUGGAGGAAUACCGAUGGCGAAGGCAGCCCCUGGGCCAAUACUGACGCUCAUGCACGAAAGCGUGGGGAGCAAACAGG
rnacentral:rRNA from 1 species